UUUCUCAAAUACCCUAGCCUGCCCUCCACCUUUUUUAUGCUAGGAGAGAAGCCACUCCCACUAGGCUGGCUGGUGUGCAGGCACUGGAAACUUUGAGGCUUCUGGGUGGAGUUAAUAAACCUCCUCCUUCCCUUUUCUUCUGCCCUCACCCCUGCAGAAUUCACCCCAUGGCAGUAAUAUUUCUAUCCAUGUGCUGGUCCAUCAGGAAGAGUGUGACCUUGGGCCUGGGGCUGGAAAGGGAUAGAAGUUGAAGUCUGUGGUUGUGAAACCAUCUGUUCUCAAAAUGGGAACAGGUGAGUGAAUGCAUGUGAACUCGGUUUUCCCUGGGCUAGAGGUAAAUAGUGAGAGUACACAGCUCCCACCAUUUGCAAUCAAAGAUUCUUUUUAAAAAUAAGGGUGUAAACGUGUAGCUAUGGAGCACAACUGUUUCCACGAGUGGAACAUCAGGUCAGCCUGAGAGGCAGAGCUGCAGACAAGAGCUGCAAUUUCACGAGAAUUCGUGGAGGGAUGUAUGCAUGGUGGCUCUACCCCUGUCAGGGACUGGAGCCUCUGGGGCUGGGUGGCUCUUCACCAGGCCCCUUCCCUCAGGUCUCUGUCCAUUGCAUUUUGCAAUCAGGUCUCACCACACCCUCCUGCCCCAUGAACAGUUGGACACCUAUGAAUCUAAUCUAAUUGUGGAGCAAGACUGCCAAAGCAGCCAUUGGAUUUCUCCUGGAAAUCAAAGGUCUGGAAAUGAGGGGGGAAGGGUGUGAUUCAUCCCUCCCACCCCACCCACUCCAACUAGCCCCAAGUAUAGAAAACUCAGGUCUCACCACCCUAGGGCACUCUUCAUCAUUCCUGGAGUACCUUUGAAGAGCCAAGCACUUUUACCUGAGUUAUCUCCUUAAUCCCCUCAGUAAUCCAGAGAAGGGUUGGACCUAUAAUAUGAACAAGGAAAUUGCAAAGUUCUAAAACUUAAUUAACUUGCCUGAGGUUAGACAGCAGAAAAACAAGGCUCAACACCUAGGCUGAUGUCCAAAGACACUUAAACAGCUGCCUGGGAAUGAAAGAGGGCUUUAGAAAGAUAGCAGGUGCAAAAGAGGGAACCCGGAUCAGAGGGGCCAUGCAGGUAAUAAGGAAAGUAGUAAGACAUAAUCUAUCAACAGGAAGUGGUG
rnacentral:lncRNA from 1 species